GGGUUGUGAGGUUAAGCGACUAAGCGUACACGGUGGAUGCCCUGGCAGUCAGAGGCGAUGAAGGACGUGCUAAUCUGCGAUAAGCGUCGGUGAGGUGAUAUGAACCGUUAUAACCGGCGAUUUCCGAAUGGGGAAACCCAGUGUGUUUCGACACACUAUCAUUAACUGAAUCCAUAGGUUAAUGAGGCGAACCGGGGGAACUGAAACAUCUAAGUACCCCGAGGAAAAGAAAUCAACCGAGAUUCCCCCAGUAGCGGCGAGCGAACGGGGAGGAGCCCAGAGCCUGAAUCAGUGUGUGUGUUAGUGGAAGCGUCUGGAAAGGCGUGCGAUACAGGGUGACAGCCCCGUACACAAAAAUGCACAUAUUGUGAGCUCGAUGAGUAGGGCGGGACACGUGGUAUCCUGUCUGAAUAUGGGGGGACCAUCCUCCAAGGCUAAAUACUCCUGACUGACCGAUAGUGAACCAGUACCGUGAGGGAAAGGCGAAAAGAACCCCGGCGAGGGGAGUGAAAAAGAACCUGAAACCGUGUACGUACAAGCAGUGGGAGCCUCUUAAUGGGGUGACUGCGUACCUUUUGUAUAAUGGGUCAGCGACUUAUAUUCUGUAGC
rnacentral:rRNA from 1 species